rnacentral:rRNA from 18 species
GAUCUCAGAUGAAGCGAGACUACCCCCUGAAUUUAAGCAUAUUAAUAAGGGGAGGAAAAGAAACUAACAAGGAUUCCCCUAGUAACGGCGAGUGAAGCGGGAAAAGCUCAAGCUGAAAAUCGGAAUGUCAAACGACAUUUUCGAAUUGUAGCCUAUAGAUGUUUCGUCAGCAUGUUUCGUGAAUACAAGUCCCUUGAAACAGGGCAUCAGAGAGGAUGAGAAUUCCGUAUCGAACUUUAUUCACCGAAGCUGCGUACGACAAGCAUUCAAAGAGUCGAGUUGUUUGAGAUUGCAGCUCUAAGUGGGUGAUAUGUUUCAUCUAAAGCUAAAUAUUGAUGAGAGACCGAUAGCGAACAAGUAC